GCCAGCCAUUCAGGUAAGACGGCUGUACAGUGUGAGUUCAGGCCAGACCCAGAGACUCCGCUCCAGUGUGGCACCAGCCGUGGUUGAGUAAGUGCACGUUGCCAGUUCCUCGGAUGGUGAUACUGCCUUCGCCUGUCUCCCUCACAGGUGACACAGACACCAUCCAAGGCACGCUAGCCCACUUCCUCUCCUGCACUGCACCCACACUGAACAUCUCCAACAUCCCCCUCCCCCUCCCUUGGUGUGUCAUGUCAGGCAGUCAGUGGACGGUUACUUCAAGGCGAACAAAUGAGAAGACAGGUCACUCAGAUUACGUGCGCGCAAAUCUGAAGAUAGCAACUAGUGCUUUUCACAUCCCCAUCUUUUAAUUUGUGCUGCGAUGGGAGACUAAGAAUGUGCAACUCACUCUGAAGCGAGGAUAAAAAAGGAAAAAAGAUGUAGAUGUCAGAUGUCUUCACAAGUCAAUCACAGCAGAGCAGGAAUAGACACUGCACUUGAACUGUUCAAUUCAGUGGAACUCAGGAAUAUGUAAGCGUAAAGGGACUCCUGGAAGCUUGUUCAUUGUGGUCCAGCAGAAUAUUGCACUUUGGAUAUCUUCUUCAUGUAUCAAAGAAAGUUUCAUACACAAAGAAUUUAUAUAAAACAGAAAAUGUUACUGAACUGUAUUUGUUAUGAAGAUAAUCUGCAACAAGUGAAUAAGCUUGAGGGAUUUAGAUCCUUACAAUCUUUAAAAGAAUAAAAAAAUGUUGCAGUUUGGAAUCCCUCUGUGACAUUAUUUUAAAAAUCCACUGCAUCCACUUGUAAGUACUAGUUAAGAAAAUGAAGACCUGAAACUCACAACCUGAAACAGUAAACAAAUUGCAACUAUGGAGGAAGUAUGUCUUGUGGCAAAAGUUUCAAGAUAAAUCACACAAAGAGAAUGCCAGUUCAUUGGCAAGGUAUUGUGGCCUUUUACUAACCACAUAAUAGGUUACCUUCAGCUAAGGUAAAGUGCCUGAAGUUUAUGAAUUGCAAAUAUAGAAUCAAUUUUCUAGAUUGUACUCUUUCCUGAUAGUGAUCUGUAAAGCUGAAACAGUGUCCUUUCAUACUAUAUUGUGAACUGUAGGAAUGUGUCAUUUAACUAUGUGAUCACACACUGCAAAAUGAUGCCUCUUGAAGGUUGAAAGUAAAGAGAAGCCAAAGCAUAUCCAUUAAUAUUGCAAACAUGUGGGACUCACAUGGUCAUAAGAUUAAAAUUAUUUAUCUAUCUAUUCAUUCAUUAAAACAGAAAUAUUUGUCUAAGUGAGAGGAAUAUCUUGUUUUCAUCUGUGAUACAGCAUGUGAAUGUGCAGCGUACUACUGCCAACAGCCACUUUGUUGCAUAUUGCAAAUCAUAUUGUAUCUA